CAAUCUAGCCAUGAGUUCUUUCUCAAAUGGAUUUCAAGGUCAUAAUAUUUAUGUAUUGAUGAUUAUCUACUUAUUUGUACAUUAUUUUUAAUACAAUUGCUAGAUGAACCCAUGCUUUCUCACAAACUCAAUUUUAGACUAUGUAUGGCUUUAUGCCUUCCAUAAGUCAGACGACUUUUCCCUUUCCUCCUCCUUUUUAAUACAAUCUUCUUCUCCCCUUUUCUUUACAUCUCUCUCUACCUCUUGCUUCCUAAAACUUCUCCGCCUCUCUGAAUAUGACUCGCACCAGAUCCAUAGCCUCCCUAAAAAAUUCCCCUUUUUCUUUUUCAAUUUCUUUAUAAAUUGACUAAAUCUCUUCUUACUCUUCACAGGAGAAGCUGAUUGACCCUUCUCCCUCCACCAUGAAGCAUCCCUCUACUAUAAAGAAGAAGUAACCCAAAAACACUCGUCGUUCGCUUUCUGAUUCCUUCUCUGAUGAAGACUCUUUAAAGUUUUGGGGCUUAGAGAAAAAAAUUUGAUAUGUGGCAUCCCACAAACGACCGAUUAUCCCUAGGCGAGUAAUAAACUUAGAACAACUUGAAGCAUCUCAUUGAGUGGUAAGUUCGUUCCUUCGAACUCAAAAACUGUCUAUGUUACUUCGUCUGUGUGGGAUCGAAUCUUUUGAAGAACAUGUGCAUCUUUUUUUAUGAAAAUCUUUGAAUAUCUCCUGAUAAUGGUGAAUUGGAAACCCUUGUUUUAGGGAAUCAUAUUGUGUGAAAUAAUUUUCUGUUAAAGAUGUGUUUGGAUCUGUGUUUUCUAGUGAUACUCCCUUCAUGCAUGGAAAUUUAUGGCCUGAUAAUUUAUAAACUUCCUUUGAUGAUGCUAAACUAUUUGUCUAUGAACCUGGUGCUGAUCGUACAAACUUUGGUCCUCUCUCUCAUGACUUUGAGAACUGCAUUGUGGCUACGAUUCCAUACCUCGGAAGGGUUCCCUUAGUUACAUCUCAAAUAGAGAUGUUUUUGUGAUUUAAUGUUUUGUGAGGAAGUUCCCUAUUAGCUGGGUAACAUGGUUUCGUGAAUACAUGGUGGAAAUCUCAACGGAAAAUAAUCUCUCUACUAGUUUACCAUAUGGUUUAUUGAUCUCACGCAUCAUAGUCGACUCUCUUGUGGAUAUCUCUCUGUACACUCCAACUCUUAUUGAUGACACAUAUGACAUUCGCACCUUCUCAAGCGUGGGCUAUGUUGUGAUAACCUUAAAAUGGUAUAAAAAAAAUAUGUGCGCCAAAGAAAUGUUACUGCAAAAGCAACUCGUAACUCCACCGACUCUGCUGCCAUGCUUCUUGAAGAGACUGACAAAAUAAAGGUUAGACUCCGUGGGUUGGAAGAUAACAGGUAGGUAAUGCAAGAGACUUUGUGAAAGUUCAGUAGCUACAAAAGGACUCAAGCACUGACAUAAAAAAACUGCGGUUGGGAAUUGAUGGACUUAAAAAGAAAGCGCUUCGAUCAGUCAACUCUAUACUUAAAGGAGUCAACUCUAUCAAAACUGAGGCUGCCUCAACUCACAAUGACUUGGAUGGUACCGUGAACACCUCCUACUCCAACUUCUCUAAGAAUGUGGAACAAUCCUAUGAUACCUUCUGCAGAAUAUGCUCAACACACUUACGUACUUCCUUGGUAUUUAUGUGUUGGUCCCUCCUUUUCUUUUGGAUUAAGACUACUGUUGGAGCUGUGUAUCCUAUUUUAUCUCAUUUUUCGUGACAGUAAUAUUGAGGUGUCGUCAUCAUCACUGCUUAUCUUUCUAGUUUUUUUGGAUUUGGUCUAUUUUUUGUGCUCUUUUAUGUUCUGUUUUUCCUUUUUGAUCAUGCUAAAGGGGAAGACAGGGUCUACAUAUCAACUAUCACCUAUCUCUACAUAAAGGGGGUGGACACAUAUAGGGGGAAUUACAAACUAACAGGGAGGAAAAUGAAGAAAUAUCUCAGAGUCAAACCAAUCAUGUAAAUCAAAGACGAAUCAUAUCACAAUAAAUCCGGGAUUAUGCAAUCACUCUAGAUACUGAAUCAAUCACGAAUCACCAGAAAUCAAAAAUGAAAAAAAGAAAAGUUUCAAUGAAAAGGGAUAUCAACAGUGAUUGAAAAAAUCAAUCAACAAAAUUCAAACUCAGUACAAGAAGGAAAAUCAAACCAACAAAGGAAGGAGAUUCUUACAUGAGAAAAAGAAUAAACGAAGAUCAGUAGAUGACAACCAGCCAACUUUUGAUUCAACGCAGAAAUCAACUUGGCAUAAUAAAUCAAAUUAAAUAUAAAAUCUUUCUCAAUUAAGGUUAUGGAUUCUUAAGGGAUGUCUUUAAAAGAUGAGGGGCUUGAUAUAUGAUUCCCUACCUCAUGGAAAGGAAUCUUUAAGUCCAAGGAUCUCCUACAUUAUGGGUUUAUUAUAAAGUAAAGUAUUAUUGAACUAAUGUAUUAUGUUGUAAGGGUCGUCUCCCUAAAGUAUUCUAAUAAUGUUGAGUCUAUGUUCGCAAAAGAGACUAGAAUAUUUAACUAUGUAUGAUGAUAUUUUUUAUAUAU